UGUUUAACUCUUAUAUAUUUUCUCUAACUUGGUAAGUCUUUCAAAAAUAUCUCCUGAGAGAGAGUGUAGAGAAGUUGAGAGAAGAACUAAGAGGGAAGAAGGUCAACAAGGAAGAAGGUUGGGAAAUUGAGAUGGAUUGUAGAGAUUAAGGCUCAAGGUAUGUAUAAGCCACCUUAAAUAACCUCUUUCUAGGACUUGAGUAAGAAUCUCCUUUCAUUUGUGAGAACUAGGGUUUGUAAUUGGGAUUAAGUGUGUGAUAAUUGCUUAAUUGGAAAAGUAUUCUUAUCAUUUAGUUGUUUUGGAGUUAAUUUGAGUUAUAGGGAGGAAUUACAUCUCAUUCCUUCGCUUUUCAUGUUGAACUCACAUGGUUAAACAUAUUUAUUAUUCAUAUCUCAAAUGGAGGAGCUAGAUUAUGGUCUCAUUAAACUUAUGAUUUAUGUUUAUGAUGGUGCUAUGACUUGUAAUCCAUGAUUAUGAUGAUGUUAUACCAUUAUAUUGUGUUGGUUUUCCCAUUUCUUCCCUUUAAGAUGUGUUGAAUUUGAUGAAUUUGUGCCCUAAUUCGGACUGCUUAAAACAGAGGCAGCGACCGCACCUGCAGGGAAGCAUUGCCGCACGUGCAGAAAAUAGGGGAUCUCGAACUGAAGCUACUGGAAUAAAUGCACGUGCGGGGCGCACGUGCGGCCCACCUUCCCGAACGUGCAGCGAAGGGCCACCGCACAUGCGGCCCAUGUGGAAAAAUUCUGUAUGCUCCGUUUCCCUUGUUUGACCCUCUGGGAUUGCUAAAAUCUGUAUUUGACGCUUUUAAAAUGCUUAUAAAUUUAUUAGAGACUGAACGAAUCAGAUAUUGAUUAAAAAGGAAAAGGGAUUAAUUUGUGAGUGCAUGUAUGUAGGUUAUACACCGAAAGGGACUGUUGCUCCACCACUUCACUGUGAGUAAUAGUACUGUAGUGGUAUAUUUCAAUUACUGUUAAUAGUUAUUAUUAACGUUUUGCUAUUUGUGAGUUAACUAUGUCAACUUGUAACAAACAAUCAGAAAAUUUUGUGCAAUAUGAAUUAUGAUAUCCUUGUGAACUUGAGAUCAUUCUGUUCUACCAAAGAUGGACCCGAGGUCGUUCAGUUAUGAAUUACUGAGUGUGGACAGACUUUAAGAGGAGAAAGGUGAGGACAUACCAAUGUCUCACCGACCGUAAUGUGAUUGAACAAAAUUUGAUUCAUGGCCUAUGGCCAAGGGAGGUGGUACAUGUUGAUGUUCCAUUUUUCCCGUACUGUUCUGGACAGUUGUUAAUAUGUUGGGCCCGAGGCCAUUCUGUAUGAUAUGUUGGGCCUAAGGCCGUUAUGGAAAUGUAUACAGAGUAAUCAACCCGGAGGUCGGUCUUAGUCCAGCUUUAGCUGCUUUUCUUUUGUCAACUUCACUGUGUCCAAGCAUUUUAAUGAAGCUUAUGCAUUUUUGUGGAAGUCAUUUCAUAACCCAUAGCUUUGGCCACUAGUCUUUUGUCAAAUGCUAAAUUAUCUAUAACCUGCUUUUUCGAUGUUUUGGUUUUACCCCGGUUUCGGGGAUGGGACUAUAUAUAUAUCUGUUUGUAUAUAACCGCCUCUUAUGUGCAUAUUUAUCAUGUGUUGGACUGUCUGACGAAAUGUUUGUGAUCCUGGUAUAUAAGUAAUAGCUCAAUGGAUGUUGUUUUAUGUU